GAGUUUGAUCCUGGCUCAGGAUGAACGCUAGCGGCAGGCUUAACACAUGCAAGUCGAGGGGUAACGGGGAAGCUUGCUUCCGCCGACGACCGGCGCACGGGUGCGUAACGCGUAUACAAUCUACCUUAUACUGGGGUAUAGCCUUUAGAAAUGAAGAUUAACCCCCCAUAGUCUCUUAGAGUGGCAUCACUUCUAGAGUAAAGGUUACGGUAUAAGAUGAGUAUGCGUUCUAUUAGUUUGUUGGUGUGGUAACGGCACACCAAGACUACGAUAGAUAGGGGCCCUGAGAGGGGGAUCCCCCACACUGGUACUGAGACACGGACCAGACUCCUACGGGAGGCAGCAGUGAGGAAUAUUGGACAAUGGAGGCAACUCUGAUCCAGCCAUGCCGCGUGCAGGAAGACUGCCCUAUGGGUUGUAAACUGCUUUUAUACAGGAAGAAACACCUCUACGUGUAGAGGCUUGACGGUACUGUAAGAAUAAGGAUCGGCUAACUCCGUGCCAGCAGCCGCGGUAAUACGGAGGAUCCAAGCGUUAUCCGGAAUCAUUGGGUUUAAAGGGUCCGUAGGUGGAUAAUUAAGUCAGAGGUGAAAUCUUGCAGCUCAACUGUAAAAUUGCCUUUGAAACUGGUUAUCUUGAGUUAUUAUGAAGUAGUUAGAAUAUGUAGUGUAGCGGUGAAAUGCAUAGAUAUUACAUAGAAUACCAAUUGCGAAGGCAGAUUACUAAUAAUCAACUGACACUGAUGGACGAAAGCGUGGGUAGCGAACAGGAUUAGAUACCCUGGUAGUCCACGCCGUAAACGAUGACAACUAGCUGUUAGGAGACUAUGUCUUUUAGUGGCGCAGCUAACGUUUUAAGUUGUCCGCCUGGGGAGUACGGCCGCAAGGCUAAAACUCAAAUGAAUUGACGGGGACCCGCACAAGCAGUGGAUCAUGUGGUUUAAUUCGAUGCAACGCGAAAAACCUUACCUACUCUUGACAUACUUGGAAGCUCUUGUAAUGAGAGUGUGCUUUUAAGAACCAAGAUACAGGUGCUGCAUGGCUGUCGUCAGCUCGUGUCGUGAGAUGUUCCGUUAAGUCGGAUAACGAGCGCAACCCUUACCCUUAUUUGCCAGCGAUUCGGUCGGGAACUAUAAGGGGACUGCCGGUGAUAAACCGGAGGAAGGUGAGGACGACGUCAAGUCAUCAUGGCCCUUACGAGUAGGGCUACACACGUGAUACAAUGGGAGAGACAGACGGACGCUAAGCCGCGAGGUGGUGCUAAUCCUAGAAACUCUCUCGUAGUCCGGAUUGGAGUCUGCAACUCGACUCCAUGAAGUUGGAAUUGCUAGUAAUCGCGGAUCAGCAUGCCGCGGUGAAUACGUUCUCGGGUCUUGUACACACCGCCCGUCACACCAUGGAAGUGGAUUGCACCAGAAGUAGAUAGUCUAACCUUAGGGAGGGCGUUUACCACGGUGUGCUUCAUGACUGGGGUGAAGUCGUAACAAGGUAGCCG
rnacentral:rRNA from 1 species